CAGACAGACUGUGAGACUGCAACAUCCAAAGAAGAAUCUUCAUUAAUAUAAUCCACUAACCAGAAUAAUUUUUCCCACACGGCCAGACUCAACUCAUCUUCAGAGAUUAUAAAAGCAUCCUGCAAGACUUAUAAUGAGACUAGGCAGAGCUGAGAGACUCAAUCAAGAUUGUGGCAAAGAGAGAGAGAAGAAUAAGUUUAAAAUCUAUUAUACAGUUGAUGUAUCUUUUUUACUGCAUAUGUUGUUAGGAGUUCUUUAAGUGGGUGUUUUCAGUGAUUAAAUGACUGUUGUGUUUUGCGGUUGCUGGAGACUAGGUCAACAGAGACAGACACAGGCGUAUUGUGUAUUCUGUGGACAUGAUGUCUGAUGAAGAAGAUGGUGUUGUCUAUGGGAGGCCGUGUGGGUUGUAAAACUAGCAGCUUUGAGAAGAUCUGUUCCAGGAUCUACAGAAGAGACUUUAUACAGACCAAUGCUAUACUUGGACUGAUCACUUUCCUGUGAUAACAAGUGACAGAGUCAGAUGCCAGUUCAUUUACUGAACUCUAAUUGAAGCUUCACAAUGUGUUUCAGAUGUUUGCAUAUUUUAUUUUUAUAUUUUGUAUAUU